rnacentral:misc_RNA from 1 species
AAAAUCUCAUAAAUAAAACUUUUUUGUUUGUUUGUGGACUUGGAUUUGCGAUUUUAUAAAUUGCUUGUCUAAAAUGAAUUUCAUGAAGCUUAUAUAUUGCUUUGUUCCUUUGCUUAAUAGUUUUGCUUUGUCAAAUCUUUUGCAAUUGUUUACAAAUGCGCAAAAAGUGAAUUGAUUUUUUACGAAUCAUAUAUCUCAUU